rnacentral:rRNA from 1 species
AGACCCGAAACCCGGUGAUCUAGCCAUGGGCAGGUUGAAGGUUGGGUAACACUAACUGGAGGACCGAACCGACUAAUGUUGAAAAAUUAGCGGAUGACCUGUGGCUGGGGGUGAAAGGCCAAUCAAACCGGGAGAUAGCUGGUUCUCCCCGAAAGCUAUUUAGGUAGCGCCUCGUGAAUUCAUCUCCGGGGGUAGAGCACUGUUUCGGCUAGGGGGCCAUCCCGGCUUACCAACCCGAUGCAAACUGCGAAUACCGGAGAAUGUUAUCACGGGAGACACACGGCGGGUGCUAACGUCCGUCGUGAAGAGGGAAACAACCCAGACCGCCAGCUAAGGUCCCAAAGUCAUGGUUAAGUGGGAAACGAUGUGGGAAGGCCCAGACAGCCAGGAUGUUGGCUUAGAAGCAGCCAUCAUUUAAAGAAAGCGUAAUAGCUCACUGGUCGAGUCGGCCUGCGCGGAAGAUGUAACGGGGCUAAACCAUGCACCGAAGCUGCGGCAGCGACACUAUGUGUUGUUGGGUAGGGGAGCGUUCUGUAAGCCUGUGAAGGUGUGUCGUGAGGCAUGCUGGAGGUAUCAGAAGUGCGAAUGCUGACAUAAGUAACGAUAAAGCGGGUGAAAAGCCCGCUCGCCGGAAGACCAAGGGUUCCUGUCCAACGUUAAUCGGGGCAGGGUGAGUCGACCCCUAAGGCGAGGCCGAAAGGCGUAGUCGAUGGGAAACGGGUUAAUAUUCCCGUACUUGGUGUUACUGCGAAGGGGGGACGGAGAAGGCUAUGUUGGCCGGGCGACGGUUGUCCCGGUUUAAGCGUGUAGGUGUGUGUUCCAGGUAAAUCCGGUUCACUUUAACACUGAGGCGUGACGACGAGGCACUACGGUGCUGAAGCAACAAAUGCCCUGCUUCCAGGAAAAGCCUCUAAGCAUCAGGUAACAUCAAAUCGUACCCCAAACCGACACAGGUGGUCAGGUAGAGAAUACCAAGGCGCUUGAGAGAACUCGGGUGAAGGAACUAGGCAAAAUGGUGCCGUAACUUCGGGAGAAGGCACGCU